ACGACCACAUUAUGUUGAAAUACCAGUUCCCUUACGAUCACCAAGGUUAAGCAAUGUUGAGCCUAGUCAGUACCUAAAAGGGUGACUGUUUGGGAAUACUAGGUGCUGUAA